GAAAAAAUCAUCUAGACCACAGUGGUUUAGUGCAAUUCGUUUUGUUCUUGUAUGUGUUGGACCAAGUGGGUGGAAGAAAGCUUUCAAAUGCGAGAACCUGAUAAUGCAAUUUCAAGCUCAACUAGUUAUCCAGAAGAUUAGGAGGCAAGUUGUGAUUAAGCAAUCACGGUCAGAUAUUGCUCAGCUGCUCCAAAAUGACAACAUUGACAGUGCUUUUGCUAGGUUAAGUUAUGUAUUUAAUCAUAAUAUAGAGAGGGUUGAUUUCUAUAAAAUUUUAGAAGAAUGAAGUACGAGUAAAAAAUUGAAAUAAGUUUCUCUAUAAGGUAAAAUCAUCUUAUAUAUAAUUUAAAAAACAUAUUUUGAAGAAGCUAAUACGAGAAAGAUUCUAUAGAUUAAUUUAUAUAUAAGCUAGUUUUUAAAGAAAUUAAUUUAUUUCAAUUUUUCUUGUUUUCUUUUUCCAAAAGUAUUAAUAGAGAAAUUUGUCUGAACAGACCGUUAAUUAAUCAAGCCAUAUGUUAAUUGACUGCUGCUAUCAUCAUACAUAGCUAUUGUCUUACAAUUGGUUUUCCCCUAACAAGUUAUAUAGGUUUGGAUUAUUUAUAUUUCCCUUUAAAAUUUAGGUUGAGCAGCUGCAUAUAGACACAUGUGUUUUGGCUGCAUAUGAUCUAAUUGAUAAUUUCUGUGAAUGCAUCAUCUCCAACAUAUCCUGCAUUAGCAAAUUCAGUUGUAUACACAACUUGCCUACAAAAGUUGCUGUGGCCGUUGCAAGUCUGACAUAUGCUUCUUCAAGAUGUGGUGAAUUGUCA